UGGGGAAUUGUUCGCAAUGGGCGAAAGCCUGACGACGCAACGCCGCGUGGGGGAUGAAGGUCUUCGGAUUGUAAACCCCUGUCGUGUGGGAAGAACGACCUCGUGGUGAACAGCCAUGGGGUUUGACGGUACCACGUGAGGAAGCCCCGGCUAACUCUGUGCCAGCAGCCGCGGUAAUACAGAGGGGGCAAGCGUUGUUCGGAAUUACUGGGCGUAAAGGGCGCGUAGGCGGCCUACUAAGUCAUACGUGAAAUCCCACGGCUCAACCGUGGAACUGCGUCUGAGACUGGAAGGCUUGAAUUCGGGAGAGGGAUGCGGAAUUCCAGGUGUAGCGGUGAAAUGCGUAGAUAUCUGGAGGAACACCGGUGGCGAAGGCGGCAUCCUGGACCGACAUUGACGCUGAGGCGCGAAAGCCAGGGGAGCAAACGGG
rnacentral:rRNA from 1 species